rnacentral:rRNA from 1 species
UUCGGAUCAUGGCUCAGAUUGAACGCUGGCGGAUGCUUACACAUGCAAGUCGUGAACGGCAGCACGGACUUGGUCUGUGGCGAGUGGCGAACGGGUGAGUAAUGUAUCGGAACGUGCCUAGUAGUGGGGAUAACUACGCGAAAGCGCAGCUACUACCGCACAUACCCUCGGGGAAAGCGGGGACCUUCGGGCCUCGCACUAUUAGAGCGGCCGAUAUCGGAUUAGCUAGCUGGUGGGGUAACGGCUCACCAAGGCGACGAUCCGUAGCUGGUUUGAGAGGACGACCAGCCACACUGGGACUGAGACACGGCCCAGACUCCUACGGGAGGCAGCAGUGGGGAAUUUUGGACAAUGGGGAAACCCUGAUCCAGCCAUCCCGCGCGUGAUGAAGGCCUCGGGUUGUAAAGACUUUUGGUGCAGGAAAGAAACGGCACGGGAGAAUAUGUGCAACUGACGGUACCUGCAGAAUAAGCACCGGCUAACUACGCCAGCAGCCGCGGUAAUACAGGGGCAAGCAGGACCGGAAUCACUGGCGUAAAGGUAUAUGGCUCGGAAAGAAAGAUGUAAAAUCCCAGAGCUUAACUUUGGAACUGCAUUUUUAACUACCGAGCUAGAGUGUGUCAGAGGGAGGUGGAAUUCCGCGUGUAGCAGAAUGCGUGGAUAUGCGGAGGAACACCGAUGGCGAAGGCAGCCUCCUGGGAUAACAUAUAGACUGACGCUCAUGCACGAAAGCGUGGGGAGCAAACAGGACAGACACCGUAGUCCACGCUCCCAAACGAUGUCAACUAGCUGCUGGGGCUCGGCCUUGUAGCGCAGCUAACGCGUGAAGUUGACCGCCUGGGGAGUACGGUCGCAAGAUUAAAACUCAAAGGAACGAUUGGGACCUGCACAAGCGGUGGAUGAUGUGGAUUAAUCUGAUGCAACGCGAAAACCUUACCUACCCUUAUAUGUCUGGAAUCCCGAAGAGAUCGGGGAGGUCAUGAGAACGGAACACAGGUGCUGCAUGGCUGUCGUCAGCUCGUGUCGUGAGAUGUUAAGCAGUCCCGCAACGAGCGCAACCUUUGUCAUUAGUUGCUACGAAAGGGCACUCUAAUGAGACUGCCGGUGACAACCGGAGGAAGGUGGGGAUGACGUCAAGUCCGCGUCCAGGGUAGGGCUUCACACGUCAUACAAUGGCCGGGACAGAGGGUCGCCAAUCCCGCGAGGGGAGCCAAUCCCAGAAACCCGAUCGUAGUCCGGAUCGCAGUCUGCAACCUGACUGCGUGAAGUCGGAUCCGCCAGUAAUCGCGGAUCAGCAUGUCGCGGUGAAUACGUUCUGGUCUUGUACACACCGCCCGCUGUCACACCAUGGGAGUGGGUUUUACCAGAAGUAGUUAGCCUAACCGUAAGGAGGAUUACCACGGUAGGAUUCAGCGCGACUGGGGUGAAGUCGUAAGGAAGGCAA